UGCGAAUCUGGACUCGGCAACAGAACC
rnacentral:piRNA from 1 species